rnacentral:rRNA from 1 species
AACGAACGCUGGCGGCAGGCCUAACACAUGCAAGUCGAACGAGAAGCCACCUUCGGGUGGUGGACAGUGGCAGACGGGUGAGUAACGCGUGGGAACGUGCCUUUCGGUUCGGAAUAACCCAGGGAAACUUGGGCUAAUACCGGAUACGCCCUCCGGGGGAAAGAUUCAUCGCCGAAAGAUCGGCCCGCGUCGGAUUAGCUAGUUGGUGGGGUAAUGGCUCACCAAGGCGACGAUCCGUAGCUGGUCUGAGAGGAUGACCAGCCACACUGGGACUGAGACACGGCCCAGACUCCUACGGGAGGCAGCAGUGGGGAAUAUUGGACAAUGGGCGAAAGCCUGAUCCAGCCAUGCCGCGUGGGUGAAGAAGGCCUUAGGGUUGUAAACCCCUUUCGGCGGGGAAGAUAAUGACGGUACCCGCAGAAGAAGUCCCGGCUAACUCCGUGCCAGCAGCCGCCGUAA